UACGUAGGGGGCUAGCGUUGUCCGGAAUCAUUGGGCGUAAAGAGCGCGUAGGCGGCUAGAUAAGUCCGGUGUGAAAGUCACAGGCUCAACCUGUGAAUGCCGCUGGAAACUGUCUGGCUAGAGUCCGGAAGGGGCGAGUGGAAUUCCUGGUGUAGCGGUGAAAUGCGCAGAUAUCAGGAAGAACACCAAUGGCGAAGGCAGCUCUCUGGGACGGUACUGACGCUGAGACGCGAAAGUGUGGGGAGCGAACAGG
rnacentral:rRNA from 1 species